AGACGUCUACAUUAGAUACCCCGGUAGUCCCAGCCGUAAACUAUGCGCGUUAGGCGUAUCGGUGACCACGAGUUACCGAGGUGCCGAAGGGAAACCGUGAAACGUGCCGCCUGGGAAGUACGGUCGCAAGGCUGAAACUUAAAGGAAUUGGCGGGGAGCACAACAACGGGUGGAGCCUGCGGUUUAAUUGGACUCAACGCCGGACAACUCACCGGGGACGACAGCAAUAUGUAGGCCAGGCUGAAGACCUUGCCUGAAUCGCUG
rnacentral:rRNA from 1 species